AAAUAUUUUAAAGAAAUGUAUUGAGUGGCUUCUGUGUACCAGGUACUGACUAGGUGCUUAGAAAAACACAAGUGAAUAAAUGAGACUCCCUGCCCUCAUGGACUGGGUGGGAGGAGGAAGGGGACAGAUCAUUUGGGAGUAAACAAAUAAAUGAGAUAGUUUCUGCUAUGACACGUGCUCCAAAAAUAAAUAAAUUAAAAAUAAACACAGCAAUAGAUUGGUGACUUGAGGGGAACCCCUUUAGCCAGGGCAAUCCUGGAGGGCCUCUGAGGAAGGCACCUUGGCGUGAAGACCUGCAUGCCCAGAAUGUAAGAUCUGCCUGUCUCCCUGACCUGCGUAGCAGCUCCGUGAGGGCAGGGCCCAGUCACCCCGGGGAACUGACGUAGGACAGGAUUCCAUAAACUCUGGAGACAUGACUAAAGAAAUGGGUGAACGGCCUUUGGAAAUGAAUCAAGUGUUCAAGUCCCCGCCCACUUUGCUUCCGAUCCUCCCAUAACAGACUCAGCUGAUGCUUCAUGAUGGUUUCCUGGGUGUGCUGAUGGGAGCAGGGAGGAGUCCGUGCCAGGGACUGUGCACCAGUCGUCUGCGGGGGCAGCGGCCGUGUGGUCACCGCUCUGUUCCCAGCCCAGCACCCGGCCUGCCAGCCAAUAAACGCUCAACAAACUGGUGUGCGAAUGGGGACACAAGAACCGCCUGUGCUGGAUGGAGAAUUUCUGUGGCUCACAGGGUCGGCUUACGUUUCCGCUCCAAACGCCAGGCUAAGUGGAGGUGCAAGAACAUUUGCUGACUUUGCCUGGACUCAGUAUCAUCGCCCCACACCUCCCCAGUCCCACUCCUGGCACAGGAAUAUUUACACGGAGACAGUUCCCGAGAGGGGAAAUGAACCCUUCUUCCCACGUUUUUCAAGCAAAAUCCCAAAGCCGUUUCGGGAGUGCGGUCUGGAGGAUGGAGCUGGCCUUGGGUUAUGGGCGUUGGGUGAGGGCUGAGCAUGGAGACGCGGUGAGCUUGCGACUGCAGCUUUUGGUGGGUGAAGGGAUGCCGUUGGAUUUCACAAGCAAACGGAACCAUUUCCCCUACACGUCAGCGGGCUUCUUUGUGGGGAUGUAACACAGCGGUGAGGAGAGUUCCUCUGGCCUUAGAGGCUGGGGCGGAGACAGGGUGACGUCUCUUGGGUUCCAGUGGCCCCAGGAAGGCCAGCUGGUACCAGGUGACUCAGAGCCAGCCCGGCUCCUGCUAUACAGGACCAGCUGGUGUUGGGUGGGCCCAGACAUGGGACACAGUGGGAGGAGGGAAGGAGGAAGAGGUGCAGUGAUGCUUCAAGGAACUUCCGAGGGGGGUGGGCCCUGUGAUGCUCCCAUUGGCUCUGGGGUGUGUGAGGGGGUAGGAUGGGGGACUGCCCUGCAUUUUUCUCCCCAGGACACAGAGCCACACACGUUGUCCCCAGGAGCUGUUUGCAGAUCAUGAUGUUAUCGGAGGACUACGUGGGUGGGAUUCGUCCACUGCUGGUGGGGCUGUGGUACUUGCGACGUCUUCAGAAAAAGAGCCUGCUAAGGCUGGCUCAGGAUAAGGAGUGAUAUUUACCUGUGGAAAUGACAUGCCUCCGUUUCCAAAGUCCCACAUCCCUUAAACGGGUCCUGGAGAAUGUCCAGCGAGGACUUCAGUAGAGCUAGAAGAUAGAAAACGUAAAAAUGAGUCACUGGCAUUCCCUCGGCUGGCAAACGUAUUUUAUGAUGUCUUAGCAAACUUCCUGACAUUUUUUGGAAAAAUAUUUUCAUGGAUUUCAGAGCAGAAGGGAGGGAAACAUCAAUGAUGAGAGCGAAUCAUUGAUCCACUGCCUCCUGCACGCCUUGCACUGAGGAUGGAGCCCGCAACCCCGGGCACGUGCCCUGACCGGGAAUUUGAACCGUGACCUCCUGGUUGAUAGGUCGAUGCUCAACCACUGAGCCAUGCUGGCCGGGCUUAAGAGAGUUAUUUUAAUGGAGACAGGCAUUCAGUAAAAUUUACAGAUUCAGUAAACCACAGGUGACUGGAGUUAAGCUGAUCGGCUUAGAAUUUUCAACGGAAAAUAUUCAAGGACACCCGUAGUUGGGCUUCUGUGAGGACCCAGUUGUGACAUCUAUGAAGACACCCUGACAUGACAGCUGAAUGCCCUGGAACAGAGCCGCCUUCCCAGGCUGCGAAUGGGCCUUGAGCCCCUGGCCCCCAGUACCUUGCUCUCCUGUGCC